UCAUUUUUUACCCAAAUAUAUUCAAAAUUGUCAUUUUUACUUGAGCCUCAAAUGAUUCAGAAGACAUCCGACAUCCGAGCUAUUUCGAACUGCGGGUACAAUCCCUUUAUUUUAUACAACACCUUCCAAUACUACGUAGUAGAGUCUAUUCAUAUUUUGUUUACAUUCAACAAGAAGAGGUUCUGGAUAUUUUGCAACGAUUAAUUUGCAAACUGACUUGCAAACAUUUUCCUUGCACUGAGUUUAUAUUUCAUGCUGAGCCAUCAUAUCAUAAACAAGGAGAAGCAGACAAACAGUUUGAAUAAUUCACCAUUUAUUUUCUUUAGGUUAUUUAUGAGCAGAAGAUAGAAGUUAACCCUCACCGUAAACUUAAUAUUUCUUUGUAAUUUGGUUUUAAUUAUCUAAUUAUUACUUAAUUCGUGGCCGUGUUAAGAAUAUGGCCGAUAUAUAUGAUACUUUUCUUGUGUCACACCAAUAACCUGUUUCACCCAAUAAAUACUUAUUUUAAAAAGAAUUGAGUCUUUCCCACAAAAUCUGAUUUUUUCUUUAUUUUUAUCGUAGACCUUAGUAAAUCAAACUGAGUUCUGUUAGAUCAAAUAAUCUAAGUUUGAAAUAUCAAUAGUUUACACAACCAGUUUGCACAAAGAUAUAGUUAUUAGAAAAUUUAACCUUUUGGCAAAGAUUCAAUUCCUUACUCAUCUUGAUAGAAAUGAUGAAAAUCAUUUGUUGGACACUGGACAUCUAAGUAAAAAUUGUCUCUUCAAGUUAGAAUAUUAACAAUUAUUUUGUAUUAAACUCUGAAAAUGUUUUAUCAUUAAUCGGGAAAUAUCCGAUUAUUAAAAUAUAAAAGAUAAAUAUUUUGAAUUAUCUAGAAUCUGAAAUCUGUUAUUAUUCAUGAUUUAUCUACACUCCAGCUGAAUCUUGAUAAGGAAUGUUUAAAAUAAAUUUGUCAAUACUUUCUUUCCCUUUGAAUAUUUCUAAUGUUUCCCCCCCCCCUUCCCACUUAUGUUAAUCCCCCUCCUUCAUUUUUACCAUCUUACUGAAUCUAGCGAACGCCUCCACCCCGCAGACCCGCAUGCUUAUCAAAUUCUUGACACCUUCUUCUCUUCUUGGAAACCCCACCCCCCACCCUAAUCUAAUCUAACCCCACCCCUUUCCCAAUACAAUUUUAACAAUCCCUUCUUCUCCAACCCAUAGAACCUAUUAGAAAUGUGAUAUUAGAAAUUUUUGUUGUUGAAUAUUUUUUAUCUCAUCGUCAAAUUAACGAUUAGUCCCUUUAAAUAAUUUGCAUGUAUUUGCACACUGCACUGGAUACACAAGAUGAUAAUGUAAAUAAUAAUUAGUAUUAUAUAUAUUAUAUACAAAAAAUUAAAUAUUCGAAGAUUU